rnacentral:rRNA from 1 species
CAGCCGCCGCGGUAAUACCGGCGGCCCGAGUGGCGGCCACUAUUAUUGGGCUUAAAGCGUCCGUAGCCGGGUUGGUUAGUCUCCCGGGAAAUCUGGCCGCUUAACGGUCAGAAUUCCGGGAGAUACUGCCAGCCUAGGGACCGGGAGAGGCCGAGGGUAUUCCCGGAGUAGGGGUGAAAUCCUAUAAUCCCGGGAGGACCACCUGUGGCGAAGGCGCUCGGCUGGAACGGGUCCAACGGUGAGGGACGAAGGCCAGAGGAGCAAACCGGAUUAGAUACCCGGGUAGUCCUGGCUGUAAACGAUGCGGACUUUGUGUCGGACAAGCGAUGAGCUUGUCCGGUGCCGGAGGGAAACCGUUAAGUCCGCCGCCUGGGGAGUACGGCCGCAAGGCUGAAACUUAAAGGAAUUGGCGGG